rnacentral:misc_RNA from 1 species
GUGGUCAUUGAUUGCCAAGAGGGUACCUGGGAGAACUGACAACCAAGUUAAGAAUUACUGGAAUACCCAUUUGACCAAAAAGUUGGCUGCAAAAGAUCAAAAUGGCAAACUCAACAUUAAACAACAAAGUAGUGGGGUUGCUAUUUCUGGCUCAACAGUCUCCAAGGCAGCUACAAAUUCAGGAUAUAGUGAAGGCACAACCACUGAUCAAAUUACAGUUAAUAUUGGGAUUCAAAAAGCUACUCAAGUGUCAGAUACACAUGAAUUGACCUUUAAGGAUACCUACACAAGCUCUUUUUGGUUUUAUGAUGAUCCUUUAGAGCUCACUAGAAUUAGAGAUGAGUUUUUGGAUGGGUAUUCUUUUGAUCUUGGUUGAUAUGAUUGUAUAAUCUUUAUUGCCAAAUAACUCCUUUUCUGAAAUCAUGUGAAAUUUAAGACAAUGUAAGUGAGAUAAUUGUAAAUAUACUUAUUCUCAGCUUUGGAUCCUGAGUGUGAC